rnacentral:rRNA from 1 species
GAUGAACGCUAAGCGGCAGGCUUAAUACAUGCAAGUCGUGGGGGCAGCAGGGGGUAGUAAUACCCGCUGGCGACCGGCAAACGGGUGCGGAACACGUACGCAACCUUCCUUUAACUGGGAGAAUAGCCCCCUCGAAAGAGGGAUUAAUACUCCGUAACAUAUAGAUGUGGCAUCACAAUUAUAUUAUAGCUCCGGCGGUUAAAGAUGGGCGUGCGCCUGAUUAGAUAGUUGGCAGGGGUAACGGCCUACCAAGUCUGCGAUCAGUAACUGGUGUGAGAGCACGACCAGUCACACGGGCACUGAGACACGGGCCCGACUCCUACGGGAGGCAGCAGUAAGGAAUUAUUGGU